UGUAAAUGGAAGCUCAAGGAAUUCAGUGAGUUGUCUCUGGAAAAGAGCAGAGCAGCAGAUGCAUCUGUGUAAGAGGUAGUAACAUCCGAUGUUAUAUUCCUCCGUGUUGGGAGUUCACUGGUCACUCAAACUGCAGAGACCACAAUUGCAGGCAGUGCUAUUCAGAUGGACUAAAAAUCAAAUGAAGACCCAGGAGUUGUGUGAUGCGAUGGCCUCAUAUAAAGGGAACUGAUGCCUUGAGGAAUCAGAUGUUUCAUGCUAAUUUAAAUUUUUGGCACCUUCGAUUACAUGAAAUCUAAAAGAUUGCUUUCUAAAUAAUGACAACAGAUUUCCUGACAAUGCGAACAACAGAUGUCACCAAGUUUCAGGUCUACAGAAAUUGCACAGAGAGUGCAGAGAGUAUAUACUAUAAAUAAGGCACCAGAUGUGAUUACUCAGGAAGAGCGAAGAGACAUGUAGAGCUUAAUUUCUGCCCAUGAGGCAGUAUUACAGUGUUUCCUAGAAUCAAGAAAUGCUGUAUGUGAGGGAAAACCGGGAGGGACUUCCCAGAUGAAGUGGCUCUUGGACUGGCCUUUGAAAA
rnacentral:lncRNA from 10 species